rnacentral:rRNA from 1 species
GACGAACGCUGGCGGCGUGCUUAACACAUGCAAGUCGAACGAGUGGCGAACGGGUGAGUAACGCUAAUCAACCUGCCCUUCAGAGGGGGACAACAGUUGGAAACGACUGCUAAUACCGCAUACUAUUGGAGCGGCCGAACUCGGAUUAGCUAGUUGGGGGGGUAACGGCUCACCAAGGCGACGAUCCGUAGCUGGUUUGAGAGGACGACCAGCCACACUGUGACUGAGACACGGCCCAGACUCCUACGGGAGGCAGCAGUGGGGAAUAUUGCGCAAUGGGGGCAACCCUGACGCAGCCAUGCCGCGUGAAUGAAGAAGGCCUCGGGUUGUAAAGUUCUUUCGGUAGCGAGGCGUUAACUACAGAAGAAGCACCGGCUAACUCCGUGCCAGCAGCCGCGGUAAUUC